rnacentral:misc_RNA from 1 species
GGAAGUAAAGGUCGUAACAAGGUCUCCGUUGGUGAACCAGCGGAGGGAUCAUUACCGAGUUUACAACUCCCAAACCCCAUGUGAACCUUACCAAACGUUGCUUCGGCGGGAUGCCCCGGGCGCGGGCCGCAAGGCCUCAGCCCCGGAACCAGGCGCCCGCCGGAGGCCCAAACCAAACUCUUGUUUUUGUAGAAUCUUCUGAGUGGCCUUUUAGGCAAAAAAUGAAUCAAAACUUUCAACAACGGAUCUCUUGGUUCUG